CCUACGGGUGGCAGCAGUAGGGAAUCUUCCACAAUGGGCGAAAGCCUGAUGGAGCAACGCCGCGUGGGUGAAGAAGGUCUUCGGAUCGUACAACCCUGUUGUUAGAGAAGAAAGUGCGUGAGCGUAACUGUUCACGUUUCGACUGUAUCUAACCAGAAAGCCACGGCUAACUACGUGCCCGCAGCCGCGGUAAUCCGUAGGUGGCAAGCGUUAUCCGGAUUUAUUGGGCGUAAAGGGAACGCAGGCGGUCUUUUAAGUCUGAUGUGAAAGCCUUCGGCUUAACCGGAGUAGUGCAUUGGAAACUGGGAGACUUGAGUGCAGAAGAGGAGAGUGGAACUCCAGGUGUAGCGGUGAAAUGCGUAGAUAUAUGGAAGAACACCAGUGGCGAAAGCGGCUCUCUGGGCUGUAACGGACGCUGAGGUUCGAAAGCGUGGGUAGCAAACAGGAUUAGAUACCCCAGUAGUC
rnacentral:rRNA from 1 species